UGGGGAACACAAGCGAAUGCACAUAGGAUUUUUUUUUUUUUUUCUUCAUAUGCCUCAUUGUUCACUUCUCUUUUAAGAAGGCAGGGUGUGAAUUGGUUUUUAACGUCCCGGAUCUCCAGAUUAUUCUUUUUGUUUCUCCUCACUCCCCACAACAGGCUCCCAUGAGUCACUCUGAGUUUGGAUGUGGUAAGGAUAAAGGGACAGAGCCAAACUAGAAGCAGCAUUUAUCUCGAGGCUAAUGUGACCUAGGUCAUCAAGGUCGACUCUUUCCUAGCAGUGGGAUCCUGUAAAACUGACCUGACUCGACUGCCGCCUUCAGUCAGCAAGAAGAACUACACACAGAGAAAAUGCCUCAGCCUUAGUUACCGUGGUGAUGCUGGUUCAACCACAUUUCACCUGUGUAAAAAUUUCAGGCAGAACAGUAUAAAGAAGUACCAGCUAAAGGAGUUAACACUUCACUUGUUUUUGCUGCUGUUGCUAAGUUCACGUUAGCUUUGGUCAAAGAUGAUGAUUUGAAGGGAAAACCUUUGCAGCACUGAAAACAAGCAAGGAUGAAAUGCCCACCUAGCCAUUGGAGAAAUCUCCUAAUAUCCACUUUGCAUGAUAUCACAUUGCUUUCCCUUCGGCUGACAUGGAGCAUUUGGGUCUUCUGGACUCUAAUUACUUGCAAGAGGAACAUGGUUUAAGGAGACUGCGGAAGACCCAAAGCUGGGGAAUGUUGGCAUACCAGCUUGGAGGGAAAACUGAUAAGAAGAUGCUAAGGAAGCUGGGGGCUUGGACAAAAGUAACAAGACACGAUUCAACAACAACAACAACAACAAAAAUUAAUUCAUAUUAAUAAUACACUCUGGAGAAAGCACAGGCCAUGAAGCGAAGACAAGAGAGGAGUUUAAAAAUUUCUGCGGUAAGGGGCAAGUUAAAUGCUGUAAGGCCCUACAGACGCAAGCCCGGAGGAGGCUCCGGUCUCUGGGAAAGUGCAAGUACAAGGAAAGACUUACUUCCUUACCCCCUUCCUUCCUUGCCAGGAUCAGAAAGUCAAAGAAGGGGGAAGAGGCUAACAACACUGAUUUACAAAGACAGCGAGGAGGAACUAUGUCUGGGUCAAUUCUGGACGUCUGAGCUGGGGCGACAGGACCCAGACAACCACCUCAGGAAAUGAGUAAAUGAAAAGGGGAGGUCGUGGAAUUAUUUAGCCCUAGAACAACGCUGCCUAGACCGGAGUGGGGGUGGAGCAAGACGAAAAUCUCAGAAAAGGAAUUUUGACAGUGAGAAUGCUAGUUAAGAUACAGCCCUCCAGGCCCCCUGAUGUCCCUUGUUUGAUGUUAAUAAAGACCUAGGAGGA